UACGUAGGGUGCAAGCGUUAAUCGGAAUUACUGGGCGUAAAGCGUGCGCAGGCGGUUUUGUAAGUCUGUCGUGAAAUCCCCGGGCUCAACCUGGGAAUUGCGAUGGAGACUGCAAGGCUAGAAUCUGGCAGAGGGGGGUAGAAUUCCACGUGUAGCAGUGAAAUGCGGUAGAGAUGUGGAGGAACACCGAUGGCGAAGGCAGCCCCCUGGGUCAAGAUUGACGCUCAUGCACGAAAGGCGUGGGGAGCAAACGAGG
rnacentral:rRNA from 1 species